CAGAGCCGCAGACCCACCCGGCCACCCCUCAGCGUCUACGCCCCCGAAGCGUCCGGGCCCUCACCUGGCCGGGGGCGUCGUCCCCUUCCAGGACUCCCUGGUUUAAGGCGCUUCCCCCCAUGUCCUUGCUGCCCUCCCUGUGGCGUGAGCCUUCGGCCUGGUGCGCCCCGCUGCCCUCCUUGGCUGUGACUCUGGUGGGGUUCCGAAGGCCCCUUUAUGCCCGGCAGACCCCUACCGACGGCGGCAUUCCAUUCUGGGGCCACGAGGAGGCACUCAUCGUUUCGUUCCAACCGCCGCCAACGGCCCUGGCCCUCGCGAGCUCUGGAACUACAGAGGUCGCACGCCCGGGCAGUGAGUGUGGAUGGCUUGGCAGGUGAGCCUGCCAGAGCUGGAGGACCGGCUUCAGUGUCCCAUCUGCCUGGAGGUCUUCAAGGAGCCCCUAAUGCUACAGUGCGGCC
rnacentral:sRNA from 1 species